rnacentral:tRNA from 1 species
CUUGAAUAGCUUAUUUAGAGCAUGAUAUUGAAGAUAUCAAGGAGAAUUUUUAAUUUUUCGAGUAU